rnacentral:tRNA from 1 species
UAGCCUAGUGCUUAAGGCUAUGGUUCGCCAAACCGGAGACGGCGGGUUCGAAUCCCGU